rnacentral:lncRNA from 1 species
AAAAAUCUUAACCAACUGUGUUCAGCCCUUUUCCCUUUCUGCCCUCUGCCAUGUGAGGUCACAGUGUUCCUCCCUCCUGAGGAUGCAGUGUUCAUGAAAGCAAACACUGGGCCCUCACCAGGCAACAAACCUGCUGGUGCCUUCAUCUUGGACUUCCCAGCCUUCGGAACUAUGGAGCCCGCACUCUCCAGUUCAUCACCACCCCAGCAUCCCUACUCUUGCAUCUAACAGUUUCCGCUAUUUUGCACCACCUGCCUGGCCCUUAUGGGCAACUCAAGGAAGAAAGGAAAGAAGAGAUAGAGGAAAAAUGGAUUCAACAAAUGAAAGUGUUCUUUCUGACUACUGCUGUGUUUACAAACAUUUUAAUCAUCAAAACAUGCUUUAUUUGAUAGAAAGAUCAAAUCUGCCUUUGUAAAACAAGAGACUAUUUUAAUCAUUAAGACAACACACAUGUUUGAUUUGGAGGCGUGUUCUCAUUCAAAACCUUGCAAAAUAUAAUUUCUUCUUGUCUGGGAGAUGGUGUCUUUCUUCGGGGAGAACCUUGAGAGAAAUGUCUAUGAAUGUGUCUGUAGAUUGAGGAUAGGCCAACAAACAUAUUUUGAAAUAUUUUUUCUUUCUUUUAAAAAAAUAGAUACUUUUAAAAGAAAAUGCUUAUUUAAAUUACAUAGCUCUUUUUUUCACUCUCAGUCAUCAUUUGUGGUUUCAGUCAGUACUACAUUUAUUCCCCAGAGCUAGGAUUGCUGUGUUUUUAGAAAGGGAGCCUGUUUGAAGGGACUCUAUACUCUUGCAGUAAUUAAAAUCCUUUUAGGAGUCUUUGACUUUGACUUACUGCUUUGUUUUAAAUUAUUGAAAUUAUUCAACUUCCCCAUUCUAACCCACGGAAGGCUGUUGUUGUUCUCAUUUAUAAUGGCACAAUAUAAGUUUAAAGAUAGCUGUCUCCACAUGAAUGCAUCUGCAAAUCCAUCUCUCUUCUCUCUUCUGCCAUCCAGGUUAAGAAGCUCCACUGCGCUUUGUCCAUUGCAAGUUGAGAAGUGAGGCCCCAGCUGUCACAUACAGUGAGUGAAGAAGCUGAGCUUCCCUCAACGCCUGGGCCUGUAUGAAUUUUUUUUUUUUUUUUUUUUUUGGAGACGGAGUCUCACUUUGUUGCCCAGGCUGGAGUGCAAUGGCACUAUCUCAGGCCACUGCAACCUCUGCCUCCCAGGUUCAAGCGAUUCUUCUGCCUCAGCCUCCUGAGUAGCUGGGAUUACAGAAGUGCACCAUUACAGCUUGCUAAUUUUUGUAUUUUUAGUAGAGAAGGGUUUUCACCAUGUUGGCCAGGUUGGUCUCGAACUCUUGGCCUCAGGUGAUCCGCCCGCACAGCCUCCCAAAGUGUUGGGAUUACAGGCGUGAGCCACUGCGCCCGGCCUUAGGCUCCAUCACAAGAGGGAGCCCCAUUGCUAGUCCCCAUCCUCAAAGCCUCUGCGUGAUGUUGUCUACUGUUACUCUUCACUACCCUGUGGGAGCCAAAGCCCUGGACAUAAGAACAGAAGGCAAUGGUGGCUGAGAGGAAGAACUGACACCUUUGUGCUAUCAGAGCACUUUGCAGAGGAGCUGUUAGUGGCCCUGUAGGAGUCUGCUGGCCAUACAUCUGGGUGUCAAAUCAAGAGAGCAUGAGAAGUUGGACAGGAAAGGUCCAAGGCAAAAUGGUUACUAAAGGCCAUCCCUGAUCCUGACCCUAAAAGAAGAAAAGGCCCUUUGCUCUUGGCAUGCUUUUGCAGGAGUGUCUCAGUCUGUUUGGGCUGCUAUAACAUUGACUGGGUGAUCUGCCUGCCUGGCCUCCCAAAGUGCUGGGGUUACAGGUGUGAGCCGCUGCACCAGGCCUUGAGGUCAGGAGUUCGAGACCAGCCUGGCCAACAUGGUGAAACCUGUCUUUACUAAAAAUACAGAAAUUAGCCAGGCAUGGAGGCGCAUGCCUGUAAUCCCAGCUACUGGGGAGGCUGAGGCAGGAGAAUCGCUUGAACCCAGAAGGUGGAGGUUGCGGUGAGCCCAGAUAGUGCCAUUGCACUCUAGCCUGGCCAACAAGAGUGAAACUCUGUCUCAAAAAAUAAAUAAACAAACAAACAAACAACAA